AAUGAACGCUGGCGGCAGGCCUAACACAUGCAAGUCGAACGGAUCCUUCGGGAUUAUUGGCGGACGGGUGAGUAACGCGUGGGAACAUACCCUUUGGUACGGAAUAGCCUCGGGAAACUGGGAGUAAUACCGUAUGUGGAUGAGAGACGAAAGAUUUAGCGCCAAAGGAGUGGCCCGCGUGGGAUUAGGGAGUUGGUGGGGGAAUGGCCUACCAAGCCGACGAUCCAUAGCUGGUUGGAGAGGAUGAUCAGACACACUGGGACUGAGACACGGCCCAGACUCCUACGGGAGGCAGCAGUGGGGGAGCUUCGACGAUGGGGGAAUCCGUGAUCUAGCCAUGCCGCGUGAUCGAUGAAGGCCUUAGGGUUGUCAAGAUCUUUCAGGUGGGAAGAUAAUGACUGUACCACCAGAAGAAGCCCCGGCUAACUCCGUGCCAGCCGCCGCGGUAA
rnacentral:rRNA from 1 species